UCGCGGCCCGGCCGGGCGGCGACGGCGGGAUCGGCGCCGCCGAGGCCAAGCUGACGCCGGGCGGGAUCGUGGCCUGCGCCGCGGAC
rnacentral:tRNA from 1 species